GACAGAGAUAGAGCCAUUUUCAAUGAUGAAUAAAAAGGGCAAGGAGCAAAGGACCCUUUCUACGUUGGCACACAAAGCUGAUGGUGUGAGCAGAGCUUGUAGCGGGAUCAAUGUUUAGGUAUGAGGGCAAUUACAGGAGUGUGCAUCUUUGAAGGGAUAUUCGAAGUAACAGCUCUCUGCAUCUCAAUGUACAAGCAAGCAGCAAUGACAAUUUGAAUUUGCAUCACAUCUUAUAUGGAGAGAAUAUAAUCCAGUUCUCUUCCUGUCUUUGCUCUUCCAACUCGUGCAUCUAUCCACGAAGAGUCACUGAUCAUUAACCCUUGUUGGCUGAAGAGCAGGAGUAUGCAGUUUUUUUCUCUCUACUUGCCUCCUGGAGGGAGGUCGGUUGUGGAGGCAAUAGUGGUGAUGACAGUAGCUGGGGUCCCAAUGCAGGAGCUUUGAGAGUUGGCCAUGAGGAGGUUGGUGUGUCCAAGCAGAACUCUGGUGGUUGGUGGCAUUGUGGCUUCUUCGAACAGCACCAGAGCGGAACUCUGCGGAAAAGUGCCUGGUGACCUCGGAUGGUGGCUGGCGGUGAGAUGGCUGGUUCCGGUCUUGAGGCAAGGUCAGUGCAGACUGAAGGCAAGUCUCCUUCUCGCGAAAUGGAGGCAAGUGGACUGGAGGCAAGUCCCGGUGCACAGAGUGGGGUGAAAGGACUGUAAAUUGUAUACUUUUUAUUUCUUUCUUUUUCUACUUUAUUCCUCUG